GCGCCCGUGGCCUAAUGGAUAAGGCAAAAGCCUCCGAAGCUUUUCAUGCAGGUUCGACUCCCGCCGGGCGCG
rnacentral:tRNA from 1 species